UUACGAGUAGAUAUAUAUUGAAUUAUUAAUACACUUCAUAACAAGUUGCAGCGCACUAAGCAUUGUCGUGUUUUGUUGUGAAUAAUUUUAAUUGAAGUCAUGAUUUUCAAGGUAUUCUUUGGACUAAUUUUAGUAAUUGCAAUGGUAUUCAGCAAGCCCGUUGCAGAUCCUAAUUUUGCAGUAUCAUGGGGUCCAUGGGGUUAUGGAUGGACAUAUCCAUAUUAUUGGCCGUAUUACCAUUACAGAAUUGUAAUCUAGAAAGUACAGCUACUGCUAUAAAAUGAAAUAUAUAAUAUUUUUCUGAAAGUAGCAAAAUGUAUCUAACAAAGCAUAUUUUAAAUAAACUUAUCUACCUACAGUC